AUGUCUUUCUCUCCGCCGCGCAAAGGCUACGAGAUGCCAUCCGGCCGCGAUGCCCUUCACCUCGUCAAGUCAGAGUCGUCGUGCUGUCCAUCCGUGAUGCUUCCACUUCAUCACGCCAAAAUGAGCUGCCGCCCUUCCGUGAUGCUCUCCCUCUUCGUGGAGAUUAAUGCUGUCGCUCGUCCGCAUAUCGGAGCGUCACUCGUCUACGUCAACAUGAAGAAAGAAUGGUGUCGAACCGUUCGUGCUGAAUCUACUCCAACAAAUGCCCUCAGCCAUUCCGCCGAUGAGACAUUUACUUCUUCCAAGAUCGUUGUUGCUACCGGCACCCUCAUGGAGCCCCUUUUACGGGCUCGUUAUCAUAUCAACUGGAUCAAUAGUAGAUCCAUCAUCCGAAGCAGGUGCCAGAGCCACCUUUAUCCGGCUGCUGUCUACACCGACUUCUUCAUCAACAUCUUCAUUACAAGUCCCUGUUGUAUAAGGGGCAUGACGGGUUAGGAGGUGCCCA
rnacentral:lncRNA from 1 species